UGGCAGUUAGAGAACUGGUUUUGUUUGUGAUGGAGAUAAAUUUUCUCUACUUCUUUUACUUAUGAUGCUUCUUUAUAUUCAGGUCCUGGUGGCCAUUGUCAGCAUCUUAUGCUUGAUUGUCCUCUCUUCUAGUCAUGGUUUUGUUGGAAUCUGGGUAGCUCUAGCGAUCUACAUGAGUCUACGAACGUUUGCUGGUUUUUGGAGGAUAGGGACAGCAAGAGGGCCAUGGACAUUUCUCCAGAGUGUUUAAUCUUUACAUUUGGGAUUUCCCUUUUGUCUUGCAAACUCCAAAGUCUUAAAGGUGUGCACACUUGUAUUGCUAUAGCUGCUUUAACUUUUUUGGGAUCAUUUUUUGCUUCCAUGAUCUGUAUAAAUGCACACUAUAUCUUUUACUAAAUAUACUCUUCAAGUCAUAUCUUUUACUAAA